GAUGAACGCUAGCUACAGGCUUAACACAUGCAAGUCGAGGGGAAACGGCAUUUAGUGCUUGCACUGAGUGGACGUCGACCGGCGCACGGGUGAGUAACGCGUAUCCAACCUACCCAUUACUGUGGGAUAACCUGCCGAAAGGCAGACUAAUACCGCAUGGUCUUCGAUGACGGCAUCAGAUUUGAAGUAAAGAUUUAUCGGUAAUGGAUGGGGAUGCGUCUGAUUAGCUUGUUGGCGGGGUAACGGCCCACCAAGGCGACGAUCAGUAGGGGUUCUGAGAGGAAGGUCCCCCACAUUGGAACUGAGACACGGUCCAAACUCCUACGGGAGGCAGCAGUGAGGAAUAUUGGUCAAUGGGCGAGAGUCUGAACCAGCCAAGUAGCGUGCAGGAUGACGGCCCUAUGGGUUGUAAACUGCUUUUGUAUGGGGAUAAAGUCAAUCACGUGUGAUUGUUUGCAGGUACCAUACGAAUAAGGACCGGCUAAUUCCGUGCCAGCAGCCGCGGUAAUACGGAAGGUCCGGGCGUUAUCCGGAUUUAUUGGGUUUAAAGGGAGCGUAGGCCGGAGAUUAAGUGUGUUGUGAAAUGUAGACGCUCAACGUCUGACUUGCAGCGCAUACUGGUUUCCUUGAGUACGCACAACGUUGGCGGAAUUCGUCGUGUAGCGGUGAAAUGCUUAGAUAUGACGAAGAGCUCCGAUUGCGAAGGCAGCUGACGGGAGCGCAACUGACGCUUAAGCUCGAAGGUGCGGGUAUCGAACAGG
rnacentral:rRNA from 1 species